UCAGAUUUUGUCCAAUUUUCACACAGGCCAUCCAAAAAAACUCAUGUUACACUUUAAAGCAUGUUUCACUCAGAUUUAUAUUUCUUUAAAUAGCUUUUUCUUACCAAAAUAUGUUCCACAAGAGACUGUAACAAUGAACGACGACGGUUCCAUAGAUACACCACUAUCAACCGACCAUUCAUGGGACGAUGAUUCUUCAGAAGAUGACGAUAUCGACUUACUAAACACUGAUUCUGUCUCAUCUGAUGACCACGUUAUUAAUGACAAAGGCAAUUUAGUGCUAGAACUCCACGACAUUCGCCGAGAAGGAGCAACAGCCAACCUACAAGAGCCAAAAAGCAAAAGGUUUAGAAAGAAAAAACAGAGUAAGCCAAAAUCCAAAACGGGGCAGUCAUCGAGCAGGUCUUCGGAGGGGUCCUUCCCGCUCCAAAAUGCAGACGGACGAGAAGAAUUCUAUGAUGCACAUGAAAGUUAUCAUGGGCUUACAGCAAAAGCUAUAAGUAAAGUGACAGCGCCAGUGCCGAACGUGGAGGAGUUAGAAAAUCAACCACAACAAGCAAUAGAGCCGAAAGUGCCUGAGCCACUACCAAACGUAAACAUGCAAUCUCCUGAACAAGUGACUACACCGUAGCGCCAUCUAUGAGAAAUCUAUGAAAAUAUUUCGUCACCUACUAAGCACCUUAGUCUCAGAUUACAAAAUAUAGGCAGAUGGAGCGCGCCGAACACAAGGAUGAAGCCACCAAAGCAAAUACUGAAUCAAAAGCGAAUACAAUCUCAGGACUUGCACGCGGAUGUCAACAAUUUAGCACAGUACUUAGAUGUGCCUAUUUUCAGUGAUAUGAGAAAAGUAAUAGUUGGAUAUAUUGCUGGAUGUGUCAUACGGUACGUUAGAAAAGCUAUCAAAUGUGAACCCUGCUUGACACAUUAAAAUUUGGUGUCUACUGAAAGACGAGAUUUUCACAAAUUGAUUAGCUUGAAGGACAAAGGCGAUUUAAUUUUUACUUCCGCUGACACUUACAACGUUUGUGCAUCGACAGAAAUUGUAAUACGACAAAUUUUAAAAGAAAACCUUUGA